rnacentral:misc_RNA from 1 species
AACGCACAUUGCGCCCCUUGGUAUUCCGGGGGGCAUGCCUGUCCGAGCGUCAUUUCAACCCUCAAGCUCUGCUUGGUCUUGGGCCUGGCCGUCGUGGCCGGCCUUAAAAUCAGUGGCGGUGCCUGUCGCAGGCUCCAAGCGUAGUACAUCUCUCGCUCUGGAAGCCCGGCGGUGCCUGCCAGACAACCCCUAAUUGUCUCUUACGGUUGACCUCGGAUCAGGUAGGGAUACCCGCUGAACUUAA